ACUCAAAGGAAUAGACGGGGACCCGCACAAGCAGUGGAGUAUGUGGUUUAAUUCGAAGCAACGCGAAGAACCUUACCAGGUCUUGACAUCCCCCUGAAUAGUUUAGAGAUAAGCUAGGCCUUCGGGACAGGGGAGACAGGUGGUGCAUGGUUGUCGUCAGCUCGUGUCGUGAGAUGUUGGGUUAAGUCCCGCAACGAGCGCAACCCUUGAUCUUAGUUGCCAGCACGUAAGGUGGGCACUCUAGGAUGACUGCCGGUGACAAACCGGAGGAAGGUGGGGAUGACGUCAAAUCAUCAUGCCCCUUAUGACCUGGGCUACACACGUACUACAAUGGCCGGUACAACGGGAAGCGAAAGGGCGACCUGGAGCCAAUCCUAAAAAGCCGGUCUCAGUUCGGAUUGCAGGCUGCAACUCGCCUGCAUGAAGUCGGAAUUGCUAGUAAUCGCGGAUCAGCAUGCCGCGGUGAAUACGUUCCCGGGUCUUGCACACACCGCCCGU
rnacentral:rRNA from 1 species